rnacentral:rRNA from 1 species
UACGGGGUAGGCAGCAGUAGGGNAAUUUUGCGCAAUGGGCGAANNCCUGACGCAGCAACGCCGCGUGAACGAUUAAGCCCUUCGGGGUGUAAAGUUCUGUCAGUAGGGACGAAUUUUGACGGUACCUACAGAGGAAGCACCGGCUAACUCCGUGCCAGCAGCCGCGGUAAU